rnacentral:rRNA from 1 species
AUUGAACGCUGGCGGCAUGCUUUACACAUGCAAGUCGAACGGUAACAGGCCUUCGUUUUCUGACGAUUGGCUAACGGGUGAGUAAUGCAUCCGUACGUACCCUGCGGUUGGGUUUAACGUAGCGUCAGCUGUCCUAAUCUCGCAUGUGAUCUGAGGUUGAAAUCGGUGGACCGAGCAGCAAUGUUUCGCCUCGCGCCUUUGGACCCGCCGAUGUCGGAUUUGCUAGUUGGUGGGGUAAAGGCCUACCAAGUCGCCGAUCCGUAGCUGGUCUGAGAGGACGGUCGGCCACAUGAGGGCUGAAACAGGGACAAGACUACUGAGGGAGGCAGCAGAGGGGAACGGUGGACAAUAGGCGCAAACAUGAUCCAGCAAUGCCGAGUGCGAGACGAAGGCCCUGGGGGUGUAAAGAGCUUUUGGGAGGAACGAAACGGUGUCGGCUAAGACCGGGCGCUAGUGACGGUAACUGCAGAAGAAGCACCGGCUAACUACGUG